rnacentral:rRNA from 1 species
CACGUAGGGUGCGAGCGUUGUCCGGAAUUAUUGGGCGUAAAGAGCUCGUAGGCGGUGUGUCGCGUCGGCCGUGAAACCUGACAGCUUAACUGUGGGCUUGCGGUCGAUACGGGCAUCACUGGAGUUCGGCAGGGGAGACUGGAAUUCCUGGUGUAGCGGUGAAAUGCGCAGAUAUCAGGAGGAACACCGGUGGCGAAGGCG